ensembl:snRNA U6 U6 spliceosomal RNA
GUGCUUGCUUUGGCAACACAUACAUACCAAAAUUGGAAUGAUACAGAGAUUAGCAUGGCCCCUGUGCAAGGAUGACACAUUUGUGCAGCAUUCUAUU